GACGAACGCUGGCGGCGUGCCUAACACAUGCAAGUCGAGCGAUGAAACCCUUCGGGGUGGAUUAGCGGCGGACGGGUGAGUAACACGUGGGUAACCUGCCUCAAAGAGGGGGAUAGCCUCCCGAAAGGGAGAUUAAUACCGCAUAAUAUUAGUUUUUCGCAUGAAGAACUAAUUAAAGGAGUAAUCCGCUUUGAGAUGGACCCGCGGCGCAUUAGCUAGUUGGUGAGGUAAAGGCUCACCAAGGCGACGAUGCGUAGCCGACCUGAGAGGGUGAUAGGCCACAUUGGAACUGAGACACGGUCCAGACUCCUACGGGAGGCAGCAGUGGGGAAUAUUGCACAAUGGGCGAAAGCCUGAUGCAGCAACGCCGCGUGAGUGAUGAAGGCCUUCGGGUUGUAAAGCUCUGUCUUUUGGGACGAUAAUGACGGUACCAAAGGAGGAAGCCACGGCUAACUACGUGCCAGCCGCCGCGGUAAAAC
rnacentral:rRNA from 1 species